AUGCAAGGUCUCAAGACCUUCACCAAUGAGCACGUGCGCGACAUAGUGGCGACACUCUCCUUACGCGGGCAUCAUGGAAAGGAGUUCAAAAGAGAUUCAUGUGAUUUCCCCGCGAACAUAAAACACUCUCUCGCAAGGACCCCAAGAAGACAAGCUCAAGAUUCCGCGCUUUCUCUGCGGAUGCGAAGCACCCUCUUGCGGGCACCUCGAGGAGAUUAACAUCAUUUAUACUGUUUGCUCUCAUCUUUGCUGUGUUAUGUUCAAUAUUAG